GCUGUUUUUGACUCAUUGUGGUCAUCUGUGUCAGUUGUAUGAGGAUGUAACAUGGCUUCUUUUGCAAUUUCACCAAGUUCUUGUACUUUCUUUUGUAGAAAGUCUUUGCACAGUGGACAAGAAGUGGACUCAUCAAGACAUUUACAGUGAAUGGAUUGAAAGCAGGCAGUGAGAAUUCACCAGGAUUCAUUUGGGUUUGAGAUAUUGCACCCUGGAGAUGUGAAGAGGACCAAUGGUUGGAACAAUUGACAAAAUGGAUGGCUGUUGACUCAUGUGUCAUGUCACAGGCAUAUUUUUCAGUUAGAUAUGAAUAAAAGGAGGGCUAUAUUCUGA